rnacentral:misc_RNA from 1 species
GCGGAAGGAUCAUUACUGAUUUGCUUAAUUGCACCACAUGUGUUUUUUAUUGAACAAAUUUCUUUGGUGGCGGGAGCAAUCCUACCGCCAGAGGUUAUAACUAAACCAAACUUUUUAUUUACAGUCAAACUUGAUUUAUUAUUACAAUAGUCAAAACUUUCAACAACGGAUCUCUUGGUUCUCGCAUCGAUGAAGAACGCAGCGAAAUGCGAUACGUAAUAUGAAUUGCAGAUAUUCGUGAAUCAUCGAAUCUUUGAACGCACAUUGCGCCCUUUGGUAUUCCAAAGGGCAUGCCUGUUUGAGCGUCAUUUCUCCCUCAAACCCCCGGGUUUGGUGUUGAGCAAUACGCUAGGUUUGUUUGAAAGAAUUUAACGUGGAAACUUAUUUUAAGCGACUUAGGUUUAUCCAAAACGCUUAUUUUGCUAGUGGCCACCACAAUUUAUUUCAUAACUUUGACCUCAAAUCAGG